ACGCUCGACACCUACGGGAGGCAGCAGUUGGGAAUAUUGGACAAUGGAGGAAACUCUGAUCCAGUGACGCCGCGUGAAGGAAGAAGGUCUUCGGAUUGUAAACUUAUUUUGUCAGGGAAGAAAAAAUGACUGUACCUGAAGAAAAAGCACCGGCUAACUACGUGGCAGCAGCCGCGGUAAUCUGAGCGGGCUGGCAAGGGC
rnacentral:rRNA from 1 species